UGCUGUCUGCUACCUGUCUCAGCCACUAACGAACCUGUGUGCUUUUGGUGCUUGUGUACUUGGUUUGGGUCCCCGGCCCAUAUCCGGGGUGGCGUAGUCGGCUCUCUCUUUGCUUCCUCGUUCUCUCUCUCUCUCUCUCUCACGCACGCACCGCGCACGUCACAGUAUGAAACCGAAUGUCUAAUGAAUGUCCAAUGUCAAACUAACUUUACCGCGGCGUUUUACUGUAUGUUCGCUUACAGAGCUUUCUGCUGCUUGCAAACAGACUAUUUAUCAGGACUAUUUCUAAAUCUGGAAACAUCGUAUUACCAUUCACUUGCCGCUCUGAUUCCACUCGCAACCCGCAAAACAAUGCAGGCUCACUCUUGCUCAAAUCCAAGAACCGUUUUGUUUUCAGUUGUUUCUGGAAGUUGAAUGCUGUUCAACCAGUUUCAGUCGUUUUGUAUUCGAAAAACUCAACCCCAUUCUGGAAAGAUUCACAAACAUCUUAGAUCUUCUCUUUAACAGAGGUGCUGAAGCGAUAUCAUCAUUAUUCAGGUUGCCAGGAAGUCACAAAGAUGCAAAUUAGCUGUUGAGUGGACAAAGAACCUCUUCACUGCUCAACUCUGAUUGGUCGAUUCAAACUCAGGUGGGCAUGCCCUCUCAUGAGGUUAAAUAACGAGCCUGCCCUGAAAACCUUCUCUUCGCUUGCCGCCUCUCUUCGUCCCCUGCUUAGCCUCUCUUCUCUUCCGGCUUCGUCUCUUCGGAGACUGCCCUCCCCCCCCCCCCUGGGGGAAAGGAUGGACAAUGGACUCUGCUGCCACGUGGCUAGGCCAUCCGGCCGACCACGAGGCCUGCAACUUUCGGCAGGACUUGCCUUCUGAAACCUUUUGAACAAUUCCAUCUCUACAUGCGCAUACGGAUAUCGGUCCAGCACAGAGCUUGCAAGUAUCCGUUUCUAUUUAUAGAAUAGCUGCGUUAAGUCUGUGCCUCUUUGUUAAAGAUGAUUUUUAUUGGUGUUCAGAAAUCGCUGCCAUGCCCUCUCUCUCUCUCUCUCCUACUUUCUACCUCCGCGCUUCCAAGCGCAUUUAGGUUCCAUGUAAUUUGUGUGUGUUAUGCGAUCGUCAUUAUUUUUGUUAUCAUGUAGAGUAGAGUUUAUUAAACAACCAUAUACUGUAUAUUCAUUUGUGAUGGGUUCUCUGUAUUCACGCUCACAAACUUGGUCCCUUCUACUGUGUUUCGAUUUACGCUACCUUUGCUCUAAAUCCUGUUUGGUAAAGUCAAGUAUAUAAUAAUAUCAUUGAUGCAUUCGCGGGACGAAUGCAUACAAGUAUUGUUAUGCUUUAUAUUACUAAUCAGAAACCGUAAAAUAUGUAUAUUUGAUCACGAUUAUUAUACGUAUUUUCCUUUGAGCUAAUCUAAUUCCUUGACUGAAAUUGAUGUUUUAAAUAACUCAUUUCAUGGAUAUGAUCUUGAAAGAUCUGGUGGAGAAUCAUAUGGUGAGCUUUGCUCAUCAAUAUAAUAACGUUAGCUAAAACCGCUACAAUAUCAAUAUGCCAACAAUACGCCUGAAAAUAUCUCUUUUUAAGACCAUCACACCCAUGGGCGCACAAAUGAGCGCAAAUUUACUAUUUAAACAACGGGGCACAGGACGGGAAAAUGAGAACUGCGUCAGGCUGAAACUAGCAAAAACACUUGCGCCGCAUUGUGCCGGGUGUACGAUAGGCAAGGGCGUGUUUACCAUUUUGGGGGCCCUAAGCAAAGUCAAGACCUGAGGCACCCCACACAUUGCCUAACAUUUUUGUUUGAAUUGCACAGCAGUAUGGAAAAAAAUUGAAUAUCAUGAAAAAGGUCAAUAUUUUUUGUCACUCAUUUCAGAAAGUGAAACCCAUAUAUUAUGUAGAUUCAUUACACAUAGAGUGAAAUAUUUCAAGCCUUUAUUUCUUGAAAUUUUGAUGAUUAUGGCUUACAGAUAAUGAAAACCCAAAAUUAUGUGUCUCAGAAAUUAGAAUAUUACAUAAGAUCAAUAAAAAAAGCUACAUACAAAUAUAAACUGGAUUUAUUUUACGUUAAACCACAUUACAGCACAAAAUUCUCUACAGUUUAUUAUAAGAAUAAACCUUCUUGGUUUUGGGAUUUAAAAGUGUCCUUUGUUUUAUUCAGAAUAAUACAGAAUGCUUUUAGCUACAGUAUAAGAAAGUAAAAGGUGCAAGAUUCUUCUUUUCAUAGCAUUGUUUUGCUAUAUUCGUAAAAUUAGUAUUAGAUUUAUUUUCUUUGGCUUUCUUUCGUUAAUAAGCACCGCUUUGAUACGUGCGCUUCAUUGUGUAUAUCUGAGUGUCUAAAUCAGUGGUUCUCAACUCUGGCCCGCGAGAUCCAUUUUCCUGCCGAGUUUAGCCCCAACUCUGAUAUAAAACACCUGAAGAGGAGAGUGUAGUGUAGAGCAAUCUGCACUUGAAUCGCUAUCGCGGUACUUAAAUGUCAUACGCUGAUACACAGCAAA